rnacentral:rRNA from 1 species
GACGAACGCUGGCGGCGUGCUUAACACAUGCAAGUCGAACGAAGUGGCGAACGGGUGAGUAAUACGUGAGUAACCUGCCCUCCUUUUUGGGAUAAGCCUUGGAAACGUGGUCUAAUACCGAAUAAAGGGGGAUGGGCUCGUGGCCUAUCAGCUUGUUGGUGGGGGGAUGGCCUACCAGGGCGGUGACGGGUAGCCGGCCUGAGAGGGUGACCGGCGAAAUUGGUACUGAGAUACGGCCCAGAGUCAGACGGGAGGCAGCAGUGGGGGAUAUUGCACAAUGGGCGAAAGCAUGAUGCAGCGGCGCCGCGAGGGGGAUGAAGGCUUUCGGGUUGUAAACAUCUUUCGCGAUCGAGCGGGUAGGUGGAGAAGAAGCGCCGGCUAACUACGUGCCAGCAGCCGCGGUAAUAC